ACAGCAGUCGCCGCGGGAAUACGAAGGGUGCAAGCGUUACUCGGAAUUACUGGGCGUAAAGCGUGCGUAGGUGGUGGUUUAAGUCCGUUGUGAAAGCCCUGGGCUCAACCUGGGAAUUGCAGUGGAUACUGGGUCACUAGAGUGUGGUAGAGGAUAGUGGAAUUUCCGGUGUAGCAGUGAAAUGCGUAGAGAUCGGAAGGAACAUCUGUGGCGAAGGCGACUAUCUGGGCCAACACUGACACUGAGGCACGAAAGCGUGGGGAGCAAACAGGAUUAGAUACCCGUGUAGUCCCUGUCUCUUAUAC
rnacentral:rRNA from 1 species